UACGGAGGGUGCAAGCGUUGUUCGGAAUUAUUGGGCGUAAAGCGCACGUAGGCGGCUUGUUUAGUCAGAGGUGAAAUCCCGGGGCUUAACCCCGGAACUGCCUUUGAUACUGGCAAGCUCGAGUCCGGAAGAGGGUGGCGGAAUACCCAGUGUAGAGGUGAAAUUCGUAGAUAUUGGGUAGAACACCAGUGGCGAAGGCGACUUUCUGGACUGUAACUGACGCUGAGGCGCGAAAGCUGGGGGAGCAAACAGG
rnacentral:rRNA from 1 species